AAUACGUUCCCGGCCUUGUACACACCGCCCGUCACACCACGAAAGUCGGCAACACCCGAAGCCGGUGGCCUAACCCGUAAGGGGAGGAGCCGUCGAAGGUGGGGUCGGUGAUUGGGUG
rnacentral:rRNA from 1 species